rnacentral:lncRNA from 1 species
CACCCUGAGCUCCUUUCAGGGAUAUUAAAGGUCAGCAGCUACAGUGGCUCAUAGUUCAAUCUGUGUAGCAGCAGAUGACAGGUGCCAAUCUCCAGUUCACAGUAGUCUUUCACCAAGUGUAGGAAGUUCUCAGCCAUUGUUCCCCUCAUUUUUUCCGGCCCCCUGCUUUUUUCUCUUCUGGCACUAGAAUGAUGAAAAGGGUUAGACUGUUGGGCAUUGUCCCACAUUUACCUGGCACUCUGUUCAUUUAUUGUUUUCUUCAUUGUUCAGACCAAAUAUCUGUUCAUGAAUCUUCAAGUUUACUCUUUCCUCUGUCACUUCCAUCCUGUUAAUUGAGAGUAACCUAUAAGAUUUUUUUUUUUUUCAGCUUGAAAUUUCCAUUUAGUUCUUCUUCGUGUCUCUUUCUUUGCUAAAAUGUUCUGUCUUCCUGGUUGUUUCAAUGGUCUUUCUGUCACCCUUUCUUUAAUUUUGUGUUAUGUAGUGGCCAUUUUGAGUAUUAUGUUGCAUCUCUAGGUCUAGUUGAAAGCCAGAGAAUAUCUCUUCAACUUUGAUUGAGGGGAAUAUUGAUAAUUUUCCUUUAGUGGCAAUCCAUUUGGUUGGGUUCAAGUCAUAUUUUGGUUACGUUGGGUUAUAGUCCCAAAGUCAGUUUGGUUUUAAAAUCCUUUGCAGUGCUAUUCAACAUGUCCUGCAGGCAGCCAGUGUAGGAUGUGGGCAAAGGACAGUUCCAUUGUUCCUUCUCAAAGUCUGUGUGCACUGUUUAGAUUCAGAUCCACACACAUGCAGCUGAGGUGAGGACAGGAGUCCAGAGACCACUGGCAAGAGCUGCUUUCUUAAGUUCUCCCCUCUCUGUUACUCUCUGGCUCCUUCAGACUCCUCUUUGUCAAUCCUCAGGCCAGAAAUACAUCCUGCUUUAAUACAUCUUGCUCAGCUGCCCUCUUUCCUUGACUGCAUCCACAUCCUGGGCAAGGGAGUGGGAGAGCAGGAAGUGUGGAGGGAGAAGUGGGAAAAAGGGUUAGCAGGGGAAGUGACUGGGGCUCCUCCUUUUAUGUCCAGACUAUACUUCCUUUGUUUGGAGGGGAAGAUUUUCUCCCUUCACAGCUAAGGGAUACUGCUGGGUCUGGUGGCUACCAUUGCCACCAUUGUUCUAGGAUCAUUUGAAGGCUGAGGCACUGAAGAAUGGAGCAAAGAGAAAAAAGAAGAAAAGCAGAUUUCUGUGUUCUCUCUGAGCAUUAGGGAACCCCCUCUUUUUUAAUGAACAGGAUCUUUAUUGUUCUGUGGGUUAUUUUUAUGCAUUUGAACUUGAGGAUAGAGAGAUGGAUUAAAUUCAACCCUUAUAUUAGGAAAUCUGAGAUUUUAGUUUGACGUUUACACAUCUAAUUAUUGCAAAGACAUGACCAUGAGGCUGACAUUAAGUUACCAUUAGAGUAACUAGGGCAGAGAGGCAGCUGACUAUGAAAAGAUUGUGCAUGUCUGGGCAGACAUCUAAGAGUCCCUUUUAAUACUCCUUGAGCCAGAACUAGAGUGCUCCUCCUGGGUUUCUGUAUGUGCCAAGGACCCCUUUCAGUUCUUAGACCAUCUUGAAUUUGGCCAUGAAACUCCAGAGGGGAAUAAAGUUGGUGAACUCACUGUCUAUUUAAUGGUACUCUAGUCUUCUUAUCCAACCCACUUGCUGCUAUUUUCUUUUCAAAGUCCUCAAAUAGCUGCUCCAUGCACAUACAUUCCAGGUGUCUUGUUUGUUUGCUUCUUUCUUUCUUUCUUUUUAGGGCCCUACCUGCGGCAUAUGGAAGUUUCUGGGCUAGGGGUCAAAUAGGAGUUGCAGCUGCCAGCCUACACCACAGCAAUGCGGGAUCUGAGCCAUGUCUGUGACCUACACCACAGCUCGAGGCAAUGCCAGAUCCUUAACCCACGGAGUUAAGGCCAGAUAUUGAACCCACAUCCUCAUGAAUACUAGUCACGUUUGUAACCUGCUGAUCCACAGUGGGAACUUCAUCCUUUCCAGGUUUUAAAGCUGCACUGAAUAAGACAGAUGGAUUGGAAAGUACUUAGUCCAUCUCAGCCAGGAAUGAAUCACUCUUUCUCUUCUCAUUCUCUCUAUCCAACUGUCUAUGUCUGUAACUCUGUCUUCCUAGCUAGCUAGCUGGCUGUCCCUAUACUGGACUCGCUUAGAUGCUUGACUUUAAAGCCAUAAAUAGGUGAUCAAAGUUUUUUUCUUUUUUUGACAGUCCUAUUAACUGUUUGUGUUACAUCUUCUUAACCCAAAAGCUAGUUUGAUGGACUCUUUAAGAUAUUCAAGGUGUAAUGAGGUGCUUUAUGAAAUUAAAUUAGAUAAAUAUGGUGCACACAUGUCCAGCUGUAUUUUUUUCCCAAACUACCAUAAAAAUUUAGACCUAUAAUGAGCUGUGCUAUUCUGAGUGAAUUCAUGUUUUAAAGGACAUGGCAAACCGAACCAUCUACCCACCACAAGCUUGAAUCCCCUUGAUAAUAUCUUUGCUAAGUUCUUGGAUAAAUCAAGAAACACUAGUCUAAGGCAGUUGGGUUGAUCACUAUGAAAUUCUUCUCUAAAUUGAGGCCAAAUCAAUUUUUCUACAUUUUCCACCCAUGUUUUAUUUUUCUAUCUUUUGGAAUCUUAAAGAAGUGGGUUUUUUAAACAAAUCUUUUUCUUUUUUUUUUUUUUCCAAACAGGAAAACCUUUGAAAUAUUUGAAGACAGCUUAGCUUUCCCCACCAGAAUAUCCCUUGUUUCUCUGAAAGCUUUUCAUUUAGCAGUCUAUGGCCAUAUUUCUCUGGGUGGUCUGCAGACCAUCUGUUGCAGAAUCUUCUGAGGUUCCUAUUUAAAAGUGCCGAUCUUUAGGUUUCCCCCUCAGAUGUACUGAAUCAGAAUGUCAGGUUGGAGAGCUAUUGCUCUGUGUUGGGGAAGUUGGGCCCCAGCUGGGCUGGUGUCUGCCUGCUUUGCACUCCUUUUAACUGAGUUUUCUCUGCCCAUCCCAUGAAUACCAGUGGGGAACUCAUCUUUAGACUCUCAAAAGCACUUUACAAAUGUUUCCCGAAAUUGGCAAGGACACAUGCCUUGGGAUUCCUGUAUUCUCUGAUGGAGGAUACAAUUUAUAGCAAGCAAUGCAGGGAGAGUUGGGAUCUGUGAGAGUCUGAAGUACUGAAGCUGCAAGUGUUAAGUGGCUAGGUCUGGGUCAAAAAGACUAAUUAGGGUGAAGAGAGCUAGAGGUGUGGCGCUUGGUGAAGGGACUACUAUUGUUGCUUUUCUGUUCCAUUUGGGCUCACAAAGCAAGUUGGCAGAGGCUAUUUAUCUCUAGGAGGAGGGCAGGGAGAGUUGAGUUCUAAUUCUUUCUUUGUGUUCUGAUGGAAAUCCUUUUGUCCAACUUUUGAUCCCCAGCCACAAAGAAGUGGCAGCUCCCUGGGAAAAGGAGAUUUUUUUACCCCUCAUCUCUCAUUACUGUAGAUUCAAGUGAGAGUUGGGAACCAAACACCAAUGACUGGCUUCCAUGUCUAGGGAUUCUGAUUUAGUUGGUCUGGAAGAAAGCCCAGACAUCCAUUUUGCUUAAGCGCUCCAGGUGAUUCUAAUAUGCAUUGAGGGUUGAGAAGUACUAUCCUAAAUAAUUAAAAGAGACCAACCUUCCUGCUGGCAUUUAUUGUCAAAAGUGACGUGGAUAAUUCCAGCUAAUUGAUAACAGAAUCAUGAGAAUUCUGGUAACUAUUUGGGGCUCCUGAUCUGCUGCUUUUGAAAAAAAAAAAAUCAGUUUGAAACUUUGAAGAGAGACAUGUUUAAAUUAUUUUUUUUUGGGGGGGGAAACCUCUUUUUUAUGCAGCAGGGAAUAAAUAAAAGGAAAUAAGUCCAGAGAGAAAAAUCUUUCACUUUGCUUCUGCAUUAGCAGGACACAGUGGAAAUCAGUCACUCAGUUUAUAAUAAUUUUGUUUCACUAACCUGUUUAACAUUUAGGACACCCUCCCCCAUCAUUAUUCAGAUCAUGAGAGCUAAAAAAAAAUGCUGGAAAUAGUGUUUUUGAAGAUAUACACUGAACUAUCUCCUAGAGCAUUUCAAAGACAAGUAGUUAUUCAUUCUGCCUCUAGCAGCAUAUAUAUAAUUGGGGUUGUGGGCCCAAUCUCUUUAGCUUGAAAUAAAACUAACAUGUUUUUCUCAUUUUUCACUCUCUGCAUAUUCAUACAUAGCGGUUUUUCCCUCUUCUGAAAACAAUACACUUUCAUAAAACCACAUUAUAACCAGUCUUGACCUUAUUUUUUUUUCCCCCCCUGUAAGAUUCAACUUUUACAGCUGUUGUGAGCUGUGGGCCAAAUCAAAGCUGAGAGGAGCUUUGUAGUUUCUGAAUAUUCCCCUUCUUUCCAGAAAGUAACAAGAAAUCUUGGGAUGAGUGAGCCACUGCCAGCCCGUGACAGCUCUUGCAAAGCCCUGCCUCCCCUCUUCUCUCUCUCGGGAACUCAGCUGAUUGAAGAGAACCACCUGUUCCUAGGCCAGUGACUUUCACUGUAAUCAAGAAAUAACCACAUGGGGGGGAAGAAUGUCUUUGUUGCUUUUGGUGAGUGCCCUAGGAAUUUGUGGUGUAACCAAACAUGAGCAAACUUCAGCUGAAAUAAAUGCCAAGAGCAAAGUAGAGGCGUAUGAAUGGCCAGUUUGCAUUUUUCUUUUAUUACCAUAUGUAUCUCUAUUGAUAUUUGAGCUACAACUUCGUGUUAUGUAGCUAUAUAAAGAAGGUAUUUUUUUUUUUCCUCCCACUUGGGAAUUUCAGCUUUUUAUUUGUCAGGAAAACCUUUUAAAGGAAGAUGUUCCAGUGGUAGCAGUGACCUGCAGAAAGGGUUUGAAUGAGGAAUCAUCGAUCUGAACACACCAGGACGUGAUCUAGGCUUGGCCAGUUAGGUGUGGCAGCCUCAGCAUUUUAAUCUGGAGCAGACAAUUCAGAGAGAGAGAGGGAAAGGGAAAGGGGGUGUGUGGUAUUGAUUGAAGAUGCAUUCAUAGCUCUCACGUAUGUCCAGUGAGGCACAGUGUCCAGCCCCACCAGGGUUCUAUGGUAAUGGAGGCAACACCUCAACUAGACCUAUCUGCUAAAUGGAAAUUUUUUUGCUUCUUGCUUUUUGACUUCGCCAAAUUCCCUUACUUUUGGCCUAUUCUCUAAAUCUGAUUUUCCAUCUUCUGCAGAUUCUGUGAGCCCGUUAUAUUUCCAGUUAAGACAUUUUUGUUUCUGUUAAAUUAUCCAGGAUCAGUUUUUGUUGCUUGCAACAGAGGAUCUCUUACCUGAUACACAUCAGGUAAGAUGUACAUCAGAUGUGUAAUCAUCAGAAUGGGCAGUGAUCAUUGUAAUUCCAAGCCUAGCAAUAUUCUUUGGGAACAUUGCUGGAGUUUUGGAAUAUAUAUGAAAUUACAAUCCAGAAUGCAAACACAAGAUUAGAAAUAAAUAUUAGAAAAUUUAAUUACAGGGUACUGUAAAAUGUUAAUAGGGGUUUUUGAAUUUUGAGAGGGACUGUUCUUUACCAGACAUCCUUAAAAUAAACACUCAUUUUUCUAAAAUAUUGUAAAUGCAAUCCUGCUUUGAAGCAAGGGCUUGUCUACAUUCUUCAUGUAUAAUGGAUAUUCAAGGCUCUCAGCGACUAAGUUCCAGAUGAAAAAUAUCAUCAUUUCUUUAUGUUUUCAUAUUGGAUUGGAAGUCUCAUCUUCUGAUACUUUGAAUCUGGGUCAGAUAUUCUCCAAUAACCCAGAGAGAGUUGAGGAAAACAAGCAAUAACCUCUCUAUCUUUUGGAAUUCCAGCCCUUUUAUCAAUCACGGAGGCCACCUAGUUAUAAAAGAUGCCUCUCUGGGGGACCUAGACUUUGAGGAACCCCAAAGGAAAGAAAAUAAAAGCAUCUAAGCAGGCUUUUUUGUUGCAUGAGGGCUACAGCAGGUGAAUGGAGGGAGUCUAACCACUUGUCUAGUUCCACAGAGCGAGUUAAAUAAGAAAAGCUGAGGAGGCCCCUGGGAGUAAAGCAGUUCUCUCUCUAGUUUCCUUUGUAAAGGAUGAAGUUAGGGUUGAGUGAACCCAGAAGCUUUUUCCUGUCAGGGGGGAGUUAGAACAAAGAUUGCCUUUAAAGACAGUGUGCUUAGCACUGUCUAGUGAGGGGUGAAUCUCAAAAGACUCCGUUGUGAUAAACCCCGAUGUGUAGAUUCCCGAUGGAAGCACAGAGUAACUUCUCUCAACUUUUCUCUGCUGGUUCGUUCUUCCCCUGACACCUCAUUUCCUGAUGCUGGCUCUCUUCCCUCAUUCUAAUCCCACCUGACCCUUUACUGAGAAGUAUUAUUAUUUAAAAACUACAAUAAU